rnacentral:rRNA from 1 species
CGACGUGAGGAACCUGCCUUUCAGAGGGGGACAACAGUUGGAAACGACUGCUAAUACCGCAUAAUGCAUAGGUAUCGCAUGGUACAGAUGCCAAAGAUUUAUCGCUGAGAGAUGGCCUCGCGUCUGAUUAGCUAGUUGGUAGGGUAACGGCCUACCAAGGCGACGAUCAGUAGCCGGACUGAGAGGUUGGCCGGCCACAUUGGGACUGAGAUACGGCCCAGACUCCUACGGAAGGCAGCAG